rnacentral:RNase_P_RNA from 1 species
GAGGAAAGUCCGGACUCCACAGGGCAUGACGCUGGGUAACACCCAGGCGGGGCGACCCGAUGGACAGUGCAACAGAGAGCAGACUGCCGAUGGCGCGAACCCUCAUAGGGGACGCGCACAGGUGAUGGUGAAACGGUGAGGUAAGAGCUCACCAGCGAUCCGGGUGACCGGGUCGGCUAGGUAAACCCCGUCAGGAGCAAGACCGAGCAGGAACAGGGCUGCCCGUCCGUUACGUUCCGGGUAGGUUGCAUGAGGCCGUGCGGUAACGCCGGUCCCAGAUAGAUGAUCGUCCUCGACAGAAUCCGGCUUAUCGUCGACUCACGAG